rnacentral:rRNA from 1 species
CGAACGGGUGAGUAAUACGUGAGUAACCUGCCCUUGACUCUGGGAUAAGCCCGGGAAACUGGGUCUAAUACUGGAUGCUACAUGUCACCGCAUGGUGGUGUGUGGAAAGGGUUUACUGGUCUUGGAUGGGCUCACGGCCUAUCAGCUUGUUGGUGAGGUAAUGGCUCACCAAGGCGACGACGGGUAGCCGGCCUGAGAGGGUGACCGGCCACACUGGGACUGAGACACGGCCCACACUCCUACGGGAGGCAGCAGUGGGGAAUAUUGCACAAUGGGCGAAAGCC